rnacentral:rRNA from 1 species
UACGUAUGGGGCGAGCGUUGUUCGGAUUUAUUGGGCGUAAAGGGCGUGUAGGCGGCACAUCAAGUCUGGUGUGAGACCGCAAGGCCUAACCUUGCGUAUGCGCUGGAAACUGGUGGGCUUGAGUUCUUGAGGGGAAGCUGGAAUUCCAGGUGUAGGGGUGAAAUCUGUAGAUAUCUGGAAGAACACCGGUGGCGAAGGCGAGCUUCUAUCAGAGGACUGACGCUGAGGCGCGAAAGCGUGGGGAG